rnacentral:lncRNA from 1 species
AUUCUAUAGUACAGACACUGUGGCACUUGUAUUUUAAGCUGUCUCAGCAUUACCUCUGUCCUGACCUAUGGGACAGAAUCAUACUUGAAAUUUUUAAUGUGUAGAAAUCAAGUAUAUAUGAUCCAUUAAUGUGAAGUGACUUUGGCACAGUCCCGAGCUAACUCAGAAAAUGUGGAAUAAAGGAGUUAUAUGUGGGGAUAGAUAAUUUUUAGAGACACAUUGGAAGCUGUUUUAGACUUUUUCUAGUCACUUUCUCAAGGGUGGAAUUUAGAAACUCUGAAUGUUGGAAUUCCCUCCUAUUAUGGAAGCUAAGGCAGACCUUGUGUAUUCCAGGCUGUCCAUGAACUCUCCAUCCUCUGGCUUGGCCUUUCUUGAAUGCUGAGAUUACAGGUAUGCACUACUAGGGCUGGCUUACGGUAUGGAGAUUUUCAAAACAAUUUCCUUUUUAAUCUAAUUUAAGAACUUGAUUAACAGUUGUAUAUUAAAGAGGAGUCUCCUAAAAUAUUAUCUUUCCUAGCUUGCUUUUUCAGUUAUUUUUUAUUAGUACAUGUUUGCAUUACAUAAUGAUUACAUUUGUUGUGUGCUGUUGGUACACGUGCCUAACAGAUCUCAAUACUUUUUUCAUCCCCUUUCCCUCCCCUUCCUUCUCCUCCCUCUAUCUCUUGAUCCCCUUACCAUUUGAAAAAGAUCUCUCUACUUCCCAUUUUUUAUCUUUUAUUUUGCUCUUUACUUUUUAGGUUUCUCUUAUAGGAUAAAUGAUGCCAGUUUUUUAAUUGACUAAUUUUGAGUCUGUAAAAUAAGUUAUCUAAGAGUAUAUACAUUUUUCCCAUUAAACUCAUAAAGCUAAUUUCAGGUAAAAAAUUUGUAUGUAUUUAAAUUUGUUUCUAGUUGCUCCCUUCCCUCCUUGUUAAAAAUUUGCCCAUAGCUUUGGUCUCAAUAGAUUACUUUGAUUCUUAUACCAAGAGGAGAAAGCGCAUUGAGGAUAUUACACUUUGUUAGACAGAUUUUGAAUUAAGGAGUCUAAGUGUGAUGAGAGGAAAGGAUGGCUUUUACCUAUUUUGAGAGUAGGAAAAAAGAUAGUGGGGAGAUAGGGAAACAUGGGAGAAUCACAGAAUUUUAGAAUAGAAAUGAGUCAGGAAGUUUAAAAGAGAUGCUCAAGUUGCACACAU